rfam:Triticum aestivum genome assembly, contig: Triticum_aestivum_CS42_TGACv1_scaffold_093380_2AL
AAACUACUCCCUCUGUCCGGAAAUACUUGUCAGAGAAAUGGAUGUAUCUAGACGUAUUUUAGUCCUACAUACAUCCAUUUUUAUCCAUUUCUCCGACAAAUAUUUUCGGAUGGAGGGAGUAUGUG